rnacentral:rRNA from 1 species
GGACAGUGCUUGGUGGGUAGUUUGACUGGGGUGGUCGCCUCCAAAAGAGUAACGGAGGCUUCCAAAGGUACCCUCAGCACGCUUGGUAACCGUGCGUAGAGUGCAAUGGCAUAAGGGUGCUUGACUGUGAGACCUACAAGUCGAGCAGAGACGAAAGUCGGGCAUAGUGAUCCGGUGGUUCCGCAUGGAAGGGCCAUCGCUCAAAGGAUAAAAGGUACUCCGGGGAUAACAGGCUGAUCUCCCCCAAGAGCUCACAUCGACGGGGGGGUUUGGCACCUCGAUGUCGGCUCGUCACAUCCUGGGGCUGGAGAAGGUCCCAAGGGUUGGGCUGUUCGCCCAUUAAAGUGGCACGCGAGCUGGGUUCAGAACGUCGCGAGACAGUUCGGUCCCUAUCUGUAGUGGGCGUUAGAAAUUUGAGAAGACCUGCCUCUAGUACGAGAGGACCG